UACGGAGGGUGCAAGCGUUAAUCGGAAUUACUGGGCGUAAAGCGCACGCAGGCGGUUUGUUAAGUCAGAUGUGAAAUCCCCGAGCUUAACUUGGGAACUGCAUUUGAAACUGGCAAGCUAGAGUCUUGUAGAGGGGGGUAGAAUUUCAGGUGUAGCGGUGAAAUGCGUAGAGAUCUGGAGGAAUACCGGUGGCGAAGGCGGCCCCCUGGACAAAGACUGACGCUCAGGUGCGAAAGCGUGGGGAGCAAACAGG
rnacentral:rRNA from 1 species